rnacentral:rRNA from 1 species
CAGUCGCCGCGGUAAUACAGAGGGUGCGAGCGUUAAUCGGAUUUACUGGGCGUAAAGCGUGCGUAGGCGGCUUUUUAAGUCGGAUGUGAAAUCCCUGAGCUUAACUUAGGAAUUGCAUUCGAUACUGGGAAGCUAGAGUAUGGGAGAGGAUGGUAGAAUUCCAGGUGUAGCGGUGAAAUGCGUAGAGAUCUGGAGGAAUACCGAUGGCGAAGGCAGCCAUCUGGCCUAACACUGACGCUGAGGUACGAAAGCAUGGGGAGCAAACAGGAUUAGAUACCCGCGUAGUCCCUGUCUCUUAUAC